UGCCUCUUUUCCACGGCCUCAG
rnacentral:miRNA from 1 species